rnacentral:misc_RNA from 1 species
UCCUGGUUUCCCAGGCAGUCUCAUUAGAGUGCCUCCUUACGGAGUAGCAACUAAUAACAGGAGUUGCGCUCGUUAAAGGACUUAACCCAACAUCUCACGACACGAGCUGACGACAGCCAUGCAGCACCUGUAAACCCGUCCAGACUUUCGCCUGGAAAACUGUAUUUCUACAGCGGUCGAGUAUAUGUCAAGCCUAGGUAAGGUUCCUCGUGUAGUGUCGAAUUAAACCACAUGUUCCACCGCUUGUGCGGACCCCCGUCAAUUCCUUUGAGUUUUAAUCUUGCGACCGUACUCCCCAGGCGAAUCACUUAACGCGUUAGCUACGACACUAACCACGCAGAGCGCGAUUAACGUCUAGUGAUCAUCGUUUACAGCGUGGACUAC